CAGCAGCCACGGUAAUACGAAGGGGGCUAGCGUUGCUCGGAAUGACUGGGCGUAAAGGGCGCGUAGGCGGAUCGAUCAGUCAGGGGUGAAAUCCCAGAGCUCAACUCUGGAACUGCCUUUGAUACUGUCGAUCUGGAGUAUGGAAGAGGUGAGUGGAAUUCCGAGUGUAGAGGUGAGAUGCGUAGAUAUCGGAAGGAACACCAGUGGCGAAGGCGGCUACCUGGAUUGAUACUGACACUGAGGCGCGAGAGCGUGGGGAGCAAACAGGAUUAGAUACCCCCGUAGUCCCUGUCUCUUAUAC
rnacentral:rRNA from 1 species